rnacentral:rRNA from 1 species
AUUGAACGCUGGCGGCAGGCCUAACACAUGCAAGUCGAGCGGAGCGGCGGACGGGUGAGUAAUGCCUAGGAAUCUGCCUGGUCGUGGGGGAUAACGUCCGGAAACGGGCGCUAAUAACGCAUAAUAACUGAUGCACCUAGGUCGGAUUGGCUAUUUGUUGGGGUAAAGGCUUACCAAGGCGACGAUCCGUAACUGGUCUGAGAGGAUGAUCAGUAACACGGGAACUGAGACACGGUCCAGACUCCUACGGGAGGCAGCAGUGGGGAAUAUUGGACAAUGGGCGAAAGCCUGAUCCAGCCAUGCCGCGUGUGUGAAGAAGGUCUUCGGAUUGUAAAGCACUUUAAGUUGGGAGGCGUUACCAACAGAAUAAGCACCGGCUAACUUCGUGCCAGCAGCCGCGGUAAUUC